AGAACGAACGCUGGCGGCAGGCUUAACACAUGCAAGUCGAGCGCCCCGCAAGGGGAGCGGCAGACGGGUGAGUAACGCGUGGGGAUGUACCCAAAGGAUCGGAAUAACUCAGGGAAACUUGAGCUAAUACCGGAUGUGCCCGAGAGGGGAAAGAUUUAUCGCCUUUGGAUCAACCCGCGUCAGAUUAGCUAGUUGGUAGGGUAAUGGCCUACCAAGGCGACGAUCUGUAGCUGGUCUGAGAGGAUGAUCAGCCACACUGGGACUGAGACACGGCCCAGACUCCUACGGGAGGCAGCAGUGGGGAAUAUUGGACAAUGGGCGCAAGCCUGAUCCAGCCAUGCCGCGUGAGUGAUGACGGCCUUAGGGUUGUAAAGCUCUUUCGACGGGACGAUAAUGACGGUACCCGUAGAAGAAGCCCCGGCUAACUUCGCGCCAGCAGCCGC
rnacentral:rRNA from 1 species